rnacentral:tRNA from 1 species
UUAAUUGAAUCCAAAUUAGAGGAAAAUUAUUGUUAAUAAUUUUAUUGAAACUUUUCCAAUUAAU